CUAGAUUGGAGUGCAGCAAAGAGAUGUUCAUCAUCGGGAUGUGGCAUGAAUGACACAAGCUGGCAGUCAGCUGGAAGAUAAAGCAAAUUGAUGAGGGGUCACCCCUUCCUAGGGAGAUGAGUGGGAUCACUCGAGAAUUCCUCCAAGUGGAAUAGCUGGGUUCAAGAAUAUGUGCAUUUUACAUUUGAUAAAUGUGGCCAAAUUGCCCUCCCAAAAGCGGAAUCCAUUUACACUCCCAUUAGCAGCCAGCUUAGGAGAGUUUAUUUUCCUACAUCUUUGCCAACAAUGACCUUUGGAGAUGUAUCUUGAAAGAAGUUGCUGUGGGCGAUGUCAAAGAGGUUACUGCCUAUGUUCUCCUCUAGGAUUUUGAUGGAUUCCUGUCUCACAUUGAGGUCUUUCAUCCAUUUUGAGUUUAUCUUUGUGUAUGGUAUUAGAGAAUGGUCGAGUUUCAUUCUUCUGUAUAUAGCUGUCCAAUUUUCCCAGCACCAUUUAUUGAAGAGACUGUCUUUUUUCCAUUGCAUAUUUUUUCCUACUUUGUCGAAGAUUAUUUGACCAUAGAGUUGAGGGUCCAUUUCUGGGCUCUCUAUUCUAUUCCAUUGGUCUAUAUGUCUGUUUUUGUGCCAGUACCAUGCUGUCUUGGUGGUCACUGCUUUGUAAUAUAGCUGAAAUCUGGCAACGUGAUGCCCCCAGCUUUGUUUUUCUUUUUCAACAUUUCCUUGGCGAUUCGGGGUCUUUUCUGAUUCCAUACAAAUUUUAGGAUUGUUUGUUCCAACACUUUGAAAAAUGUCAUUGGAAUUUUGAUCGGGAUGGCAUUGAAGACACAGAUGUAGUGAAAAGAAGGGCCAUAUGCACCCCAAUGUUCAUAGCAGCAAUGUCCAUAAUAGCCAAACCGUGGAAAGAGCUGAGAUGCCCUUCAACAGAUGAAUGGAUAAAGAAGAUGUGGUCCAUAUAUACAAUGGAAUAUUACUCAGCCUUCAGAAAAGAUGAAUACCCAACUUUUACAUCAACAUGGAUGGGACUGGAAGAGAUUAUGCCAAGUGAAAUAAGUCAAGCAGAGAAAGUCAAUUAUCAUAUGGUUUCACUUGUUUGUGGAACAUAAGGAAUAACAUGGAGGACAUUAGGCGAAGGAAGGGAAAAAUGAAGGCGGGGGGGAAUCGGAGCGAGAGACAAACCAUGAGAGACUAUGGAUUCUGAGAAACAAACUGAGGGUUUUACGGGGGAGCAGCGUAGGUGGAUGAGUUAGCCCGGUGAUGGGUAUUAAGGAGGGCACAUACUGGAUGGAGCACUGGGUGUUAUACAAAAACAAUGAAUCGUGGAUCACUAUAUCAAAAACUAAUGAUACAUUGUAUGGUGACUAACAUAAUAAAAUAAAAUAAAAUAAAAAGAAAUUCAGAUAAACAGAAAAGUUGGAAGAACUGUACAAUAAACACCACACACCUCUCAUAUAGGUCCACUAAUUUUGCCAUAGUUGUUGUAGCUCUGUGUGCAUGUAUGCACGUACACACACAUACACAUUUAUCCUCUGAACCAUUUAAAAGUUGCUGAUACGGGCGCCUGGGUGGCUCAGUUGGUUAAGCGACUGCCUUCGGCUCAGGUCAUGAUCCUGGAGUCCCUGGAUCGAGUCCCGCAUCGGGCUCCCUGCUCGGCAGGGAGUCUGCUUCUCCCUCUGACCCUCCCAACCCUCCCCCCUCUCAUGUGCUCUCUCUCUCAGUCUCUCUCUCUCAAAUAAAUAAAUAAAAUCUUUAAAAAUAAAUAAAUAAAUAAAAAUAAAUAAAUAAAAUAAAAGUUGCUGAUAUGAUAACUCUUCACGCCUGAAAUCUUUAGCAUGUGUCUCCUAAAAAUAAAAACACUUCUCUACAUAAUUGUGAUGUCAUCAUCACACUCAAUAAAUACAAAUUUGAUAAACUAAUACCUAAGAAUGGUCCAUGUUCGAAUUUCUCCAGUUGGCCUGAUUAUGUCCUUUAUAGCUUCUUAGUUUUCUUCCGAAGCAUAGAAAACAUUUAAAAUUGUCAUGUCUUGGGGCACCUGGGUGGCUCAUUCCAUAAGCGUUUGCCUUCGGCUCAGGUCAUGAUCCCAGGGUCCUGGGAUCGAGCCCCUCAUCGGGCUCCCUGCCCUGCGGGAAGCCUGCUUCUCCCUCUCCCACUCCCCCUGCUUGUGUUCCCCCUCUCUCUGUGUG